rnacentral:rRNA from 1 species
CUUGGCCUGAAACCAGAUGGGACCUACCCACUGAACUUAAGCAUAUCAAUAAGCGGAGGA